UACGUAGGCAGCGAGCGUUGUUCGGAGUUACUGGGCGUAAAGAGUGCGUAGGCGGUGGCCCAAGUCUGGUGUGAAAUCUCCCGGCUUAACUGGGAGGGUGCGCCGGAAACUGGGUGACUUGAGUACCGGAGAGGCAAGCGGAAUUCCUGGUGUAGCGGUGAAAUGCGUAGAUAUCAGGAGGAACACCCGUGGUGUAGACGGCUUGCUGGACGGUCACUGACGCUGAGGCACGAAAGCGUGGGGAGCAAACAGG
rnacentral:rRNA from 1 species